rnacentral:rRNA from 1 species
GGUUCCUACGGGGGGCAGCAGUGAGGAAUAUUGGUCAAUGGGCUAAGGCCUGAACCAGCCAAGUCGCGUGAGGGAAGACGGUCCUAUGGAUUGUAAACCUCUUUUGUCGGGGAGCAACGAGGCCACGUGUGGCCGAAGUGAGAGUACCCGAAGAAAAAGCAUCGGCUAACUCCGUGCCAGCAGCCGCGGUAAUACGGAGGAUGCGAGCGUUAUCCGGAUUUAUUGGGUUUAAAGGGUGCGUAGGCGGACGCUUAAGUCAGCGGUAAAAUUGCGGGGCUCAACCUCGUCGAGCCGUUGAAACUGGG